GGACGGGCGGUAGUAACGCGUAAGAACCUGCCCUUGGAGGGGGACAACAGCUGGAAACGGUUGCUAAUACCCCAUAGGCUGAGGAGCGAAAGGAGGAAUCCGCCUAAGGAGGGGCUUGCGUCUGAUUAGCUAGUUGGUGAGGCAAUGGCUUACCAAGGCGACGAUCAGUAGCUGGUCUGAGAGGAUGAUCAGCCACACUGGGACUGAGACACGGCCCAG
rnacentral:rRNA from 1 species